rnacentral:rRNA from 1 species
GAAUCAACGCUGGCGGCGUGCCUAACACAUGCAAGUCGCACGAGAAAGUGGAGCAAUCCAUGAGUAAAGUGGCGCACGGGUGAGUAACACGUGAAUCAUCUACCUUCGAGUGGGGAAUAACUGAGAGAAAUCUUAGCUGAUACCGCAUAAUACCCACGGGUCAAAGCAGCAAUGCGCUUGAAGAGGAGUUCGCGGCAGAUUAGUUAGUUGGCGGGGUAAUGGCCCACCAAGACGAUGAUCUGUAUCCGGCCUGAGAGGGCGCACGGACACACUGGAACUGAAACACGGUCCAGACUCCUACGGGAGGCAGCAGUGGGGAAUUUUGCGCAAUGGGGGAAACCCUGACGCAGCAACGCCGCGUGGAGGAUGAAGCCCCUUGGGGUGUAAACUCCUUUCGAUAGGGAAGAUAAUGACGGUACCUAUAGAAGAAGCCCCGGCUAACUUCGUGCCAGCAGCCGCGGUAAUACGAGGGGGGCAAGCGUUGUUCGGAAUUAUUGGGCGUAAAGGGCGCGUAGGCGGUCUGAUAAGUCUUGUGUGAGAUCUCUGGGCUCAACCCAGAGUCUGCACAGGAAACUGUCGGGCUUGAGUAUGGGAGAGGUGAGUGGAAUUUCCGGUGUAGCGGUGAAAUGCGUAGAUAUCGGAAGGAACACCUGUGGCGAAAGCGGCUCACUGGACCAAAACUGACGCUGAGGCGCGAAAGCUAGGGGAGCAAACAGGGUUAGAUACCCUGGUAGUCCUAGCCCUAAACGAUGAUUGCUUGAUGUGACAGGUACCCAAUCCUGUCGUGUCGAAGCUAACGCGAUAAGCAAUCCGCCUGGGGAGUACGGUCGCAAGGCUGA